rnacentral:lncRNA from 1 species
GGAAGUAUGCGAGACUUAAGAGCUCAAGUGACUAGUGGUCUCCUGCCAUUUCCAGAAGUGACUCUUCAAGCCCUUGGAGAAGACGAAAUAACAUUAGAAUCUGUGCUUCGUGGAAAGUUUGCUGCGGGGAAAAAUGGACUUGCUUGCUUGGCUUGUGGUCCACAACUUGAGGUAGUAAACUCUAUAACAGGAGAGCGAUUGUCUGCUUACAGAUUCAGUGGAGUCAAUGAACAGCCUCCUGUAGUUUUAGCUGUGAAAGAAUUCUCUUGGCAGAAGAGAACUGGAUUAUUAAUAGGAUUGGAAGAAACAGAAGGGAGUGUUCUCUGUCUUUAUGACCUUGGAAUAUCAAAAGUAGUUAAAGCAGUUGUUCUUCCUGGAAGGGUAACAGCUAUUGAACCUAUAAUUAAUCAUGGAGGAGCCAGUGCAAGCACUCAGCAUUUACAUCCAAGUCUGCGAUGGCUUUUUGGAGUGGCAGCUGUGGUCACUGAUGUUGGACAGAUCCUUCUUAUUGACCUAUGUUUGGAUGACUUGUCAUGCAAUCAAAAUGAAGUUGAAGCAUCAGAUCUUGAAGUUCUAACUGGUAUCCCAGCUGAAGUACCACACAUUAGAGAAAGUGUGAUGAGAGAAGGGCGCCAUCUGUGUUUCCAGUUAGUAAGUCCAACAGGAACAGCCGUUUCAACUCUUAGUUACAUAAGCAGGACAAAUCAGCUUGCUGCAGGUUUUUCUGAUGGCUAUCUAGCACUUUGGAACAUGAAAAGCAUGAAAAGAGAAUAUUACAUACAAUUGGAAAGUGGACAAGUUCCUGUAUAUGCUGUCACUUUUCAAGAACCUGAGAAUGAUCGUCGGAAUUGCUGCUACUUGUGGGCUGUUCAGUCUACACAAGAUAGUGAAGGGGAUGUUUUGAGUUUGCAUCUACUGCAGCUGGCCUUUGGUAAUAGAAAGUGUUUGGCAUCAGGACAAAUCUUAUAUGAGUGGUUAGAAUACUGUGAAGAAAGAUACACUCUGGACCUGACAGGUGGCAUGUUCCCUUUGAGGGGACAGACGAGUAAUACCAAAUUGUUGGGAUGCCAGAGUAUAGAGAAAUUUCGAUCUCAUGGUGACAGGGAGGAAGGCGUGAAUGAAGCUCUAUCGCCUGACACUAGUGUUUCAGUCUUUACCUGGCAGGUGAAUAUAUAUGGACAGGGAAAGCCUUCUGUAUAUUUGGGGCUUUUUGAUAUAAAUCGUUGGUAUCAUGCACAAAUGCCAGAUUCGUUAAGGUCAGGAGAAUAUCUACAUAAUUGCUCUUAUUUUGCACUGUGGUCAUUGGAGUCUGUUGUAAGUAGGACUUCUCCACAUGGCAUCUUGGAUAUAUUAGUACAUGAGAGAAGUUUAAAUAGAGGAGUCCCUCCUUCAUAUCCACCUCCCGAGCAGUUUUUUAACCCAAGCACUUAUAAUUUUGAUGCCACUUGUUUGUUAAACUCGGGAGUUGUUCAUUUAACUUGUACUGGCUUUCAGAAGGAGACUUUGACUUUUUUAAAGAAAUCAGGUCCAUCACUCAAUGAACUCAUUCCUGGUGGUUAUAAUCGACGUCUUGUAGCUGGCCUUCUUUCCCCAAGUUUUGUUGAUGUUCAGCCUUCCAGUUUAAGCCAAGAAGAACAGUUAGAAGCUAUAUUGUCAACAGCAAUUCAGACUAGUUCCCUGGGACUUUUGACUGGUUAUAUCCGAAGAUGGAUAACAGAAGAACAACCAAAUUCUGCCACUAAUUUGCGCUUUGUUCUUGAAUGGACGUGGAAUAAAGUGGUUCUCACAAAAGAGGAAUUUGACAGACUAUGUGUGCCAUUAUUUGAUGGUUCGUGUCAUUUCAUGGAUCCACAAACUAUACAGUCUAUCCAGCAAUGCUAUUUGCUUCUUAGCAAUCUUAAUAUAGUCUUGAGCUGUUUUGCAUCAGAAGCCCGAGAGAUCACUGAGAGAGGACUGAUAGACUUAAGCAAUAAGUUUGUGGUUUCCCACCUCAUCUGUCAGUAUGCACAAGUGGUUCUUUGGUUCUCUCAUUCUGGGCUUUUACCAGAAGGCAUAGAUGAUUCUGUGCAGUUGUCAAGGUUAUGCUACAACUACCCUGUAAUUCAGAACUACUACACCAGUCGUCGACAGAAGUUUGAGCGUUUAUCAAGAGGGAAGUGGAAUCCCGAUUGCUUGAUGAUUGAUGGACUGGUUUCUCAGUUAGGAGAGCGAAUUGAGAAGUUGUGGAAACGAGAUGAAGGAGGCACAGGAAAAUAUCCUCCUGCUAGUCUGCAUGCAGUACUUGAUAUGUACCUAUUAGAUGGCGUUACUGAAGCAGCCAAACACUCUAUUACCAUUUAUUUGCUACUUGAUAUUAUGUAUUCCUUUCCCAACAAAACAGACACUCCCAUUGAAUCUUUCCCAACUGUAUUUGCCAUUUCUUGGGGCCAAGUUAAACUUAUUCAGGGUUUUGGUUGAUAGAUCAUAAUGACUAUGAGAGUGGUUUGGAUCUUUUGUUUCAUCCAGCUACUGCAAAACCUUUGUCAUGGCAACAUUCAAAGAUUAUUCAGGCAUUCAUGAGUCAGGGCGAGCACAGACAAGCCCUCAGAUAUAUUCAGACAAUGAAGCCAACAGUGUCCAGUGGUAGCGAUGUUAUCCUUCACCUCACUGUUUUGCUUUUUAGUAGGUGCAUGGUUGAAGCCUGGAAUUUUUUGCGGCAACAUUGCAAUAGGUUGAAUAUAGAGGAGUUACUGAAGCACAUGUAUGAAGUCUGUCAGGAAAUGGGCUUGAUGGAAGAUUUACUGAAGUUACCAUUUACAGACACUGAGCAGGAAUGUUUAGUGAAAUUUUUGCAGUCCAGUGCCAGCAUUCAGAGUCAUGAAUUCCUUUUAGUGCACCAUUUGCAGCAUGCCAAUUAUGUGCCUCCCUUGAAGCUGAACCAAACUCUGAAGAUUAAUGUUAUGAAUGAUCGUGAUCCUCGUUUGCGGGAGAGAUCACUGGCUCGAAAUUCUAUAUUAGACCAGUAUGGAAAAAUCCUUCCUAGAGUCCAUCGAAAAUUAGCCAUUGAACGAGCUAAGCCUUAUCAUCUGUCAACAUCAUCAGUUUUUCGAUUAGUUUCUAGACCCAAACCAUUAUCAGCAGUUCCAAAGCAAGUUGUAACAGGAACUGUGUUGACAAGAUCUGUUUUCAUCAACAAUGUGUUAUCUAAAAUUGGAGAAGUUUGGGCAAGCAAAGAACCUAUAAAUAGCACCACACCUUUCAAUAGUUCUAAAAUAGAAGAACCAUCUCCUAUAGUGUAUUCGCUCCCAGCUCCAGAGCUGCCUGAGGCAUUUUUUGGAACACCAAUUUCAAAAGCAUCACAAAAAAUUUCUAGACUGCUAGAUUUGGUUGUUCAGCCUGUCCCCCGGCCUUCUCAGUGUUCGGAGUUUAUUCAGCAAAGCUCCAUGAAAUCUCCUUUGUACCUAGUAUCCCGUUCACUGCCCUCAAGUUCACAAUUAAAAGGAUCGCCUCAGGCCAUCUCCAGGGCUUCAGAAUUACAUUUGCUUGAAACUCCUCUUGUAGUUAACAAAGCUAAAAGUUUGGCCAUGUCAGUUACUACUUCUGGAUUUUCUGAGUUCACUCCUCAGUCCAUCCUGAGGUCUACUCUUCGAUCAACACCUUUAGCAUCUCCCUCUCCAUCACCUGGAAGGUCUCCUCAACGACUUAAAGAAACUAGAAUUUCAUUUGUGGAAGAAGAUGUCCACCCAAAGUGGAUUCCUGGGGCUGCAGAUGAUAGCAAAUUAGAAGUAUUUACUACACCUAAAAAAUGUGCAGUUCCAGUGGAAACUGAAUGGCUGAAGAGCAAAGAUAGGACCACAUCUUUUUUCCUGAACAGCCCUGAAAAGGAGCAUCAAGAAAUG